GUCACCUUGGCUCAGUGGUAUUGCGUCGCACUCGUACUUUWAUGAGCUAAUGCGAAGAUCGAGGGUUCGAUUCCCUCAGGUGACA
rnacentral:tRNA from 1 species